GGCCUCGUAGCUCAAAUGGUUAGAGCGUUGACUGAACUACAGCUGUCAUGUGUUCGAAUUCCACCGAGGCCG
rnacentral:tRNA from 1 species